rnacentral:rRNA from 1 species
UACGUAGGGGGCAAGCGUUGUCCGGAAUCACUGGGCGUAAAGGGCGCGUAGGUGGCGACCCAAGUCAACGGUGAAAGCUCGACGCUCAACGUCGAGUCGGCCGUCGAUACUGGGUUGCUCGAGCACUGUAGAGGCAGAUGGAAUUCCGGGUGUAGCGGUGGAAUGCGUAGAGAUCCGGAAGAACACCGGUGGCGAAGGCGGUCUGCUGGGCAGUAGCUGACACUGAGGCGCGACAGCGUGGGGAGCAAACAGG